rnacentral:rRNA from 1 species
AUCGAACGCUGGCGGCAGGCCUAACACAUGCAAGUCGAACGAGUGGCGGACGGGUGAGUAAUGUCUGGGAAACUGCCCGAUGGAGGGGGCUAACUACUGGAAACGGUAGCUAAUACCGCAUACCAUCGGAUGUGCCCAGAUGGGAUUAGCUAGGAGGUGGGGUAAAGGCUCACCUAGGCGACGAUGCCUAGCUGGUCUGAGAGGAUGACCAGCCACACUGGGACUGAGACACGGUCCAGACUCCUACGGGAGGCAGCAGUAGGGAAUAUUGCGCAAUGGGCGCAAGCCUGAUACAGCCAUGCCGCGUGUAUGAAGAAGGCCUUCGGGUUGUAAAGUACUUUCAGCGGAGAAGCGUUACCCGCAGAAGAAGCACCGGCUAACUCCGUGCCAGCAGCCGCGGUAAUUC